CAGCAAAAUCUCCCAUAUUCCCGGCCUGCUUUCUGAGCUGGAUCUCCACAUUCUUGCUCUAAGUAAAACUGGCUGGAACCUACAGAAUGGGAGAAAAUAUUUGCAAACCACGUAUCUGAUAAGGGAUUCAUAUGCAAAAUGUAACAGGAACUCAUACCACUCAAUAAGAAAAACAUAAACAAUCUGAUUAAAUAAUGGAAAGAGAACUCGAAUAGACAUUUUUCCAAAGAAGACAUAAAAAUGGCCAAGAAAUACAUGAAAAGAUGCUCAACAUCACUAAUCAUUGGGGAAAUGCAAAUCAAAACCACAAUGAGAUAUCACCUGACACCUGUUAGAAUGGCUGUCAUCAAAAAGACAAGAGAUAACAAAUGCUGGUGAGGGCGUGGAGAAAAGGGAACACUCGUACACUGUUAGUGGGAAUGUAAAUUUGUGCAACCACUACGGAAAACAGUAUGGAGUUUCCUCAAAACAUUAAAAAUAGAACUACCAUAUAACCCAGCAAUUCCACUUCUGAGUAUUUAUCCAGAGGCGAUGAAAUCACUAUCUCAAAGAGAUAUCUACAAUCCUAUGGUCAUUGCAGCAUUAUUCACAGUAGCCAAGAUAGAAAAAUGACCUAAGUGUCCAUCAAUAGACAAAGAAUGGGUAAAUAAAAUGUGGUUGGUGUAUCUAAUGGAGCAUGAUUCAGCCAUAGGGGGGAAAAAAGAAGAAGGAAAAUCUUGCUACUUGCAUCAACACGGAUUCCCUUGAGGGGCAUUAUGCUAAGUGAGAUAAAUCAGACAGAGAAAGACAAAUACGAUCUGAUCUCACCUGUAUGUGGAGUCUUAACCAAAUUCAUAGAAACAGAGAGUAGAAUGGUGGUUGACAGGGACUGAAAGUUGGGGGAGAUGAGAAGAUAUUGGUGAAGGGGUACAAACUUUCACUUAUGAGAUGAAUAAGUUCCAGAGAUGUAAUGUACAGCAUGGUGACUAUAGUUAACACUACUGUAUUGUACACUUGAAAGUUGCUAAGAGAGUAGAGCUUUAAUGUUCUCACCAUAACAACGGCAACUAAAAAUGGUAAUUAUGUGAGGUGAAGGAUGUGUUAACUAAUGUUACUGUGGUACACAUUUCACAGUAUGUAUGUUUAUUAAAUUGUCACAUCGUAUGCUUUAAACUUAUACAAUGUUAUAUGUUAAUCAUAUCUCAGUAAACCUGGGAAAACAAAUCCCAGCUGGUCUUUUGAGGCACAGCCUCCAUUUUAGCCCUCUUCAGUCCUGGCUGAUUUUUCUUCCAUAACCCACCUCCCACCAGCCCUCGAAGUGGGGUACACAGGCUGUUGUUCCUCCCUUGUUCCCACUUCCAAACUCUUCUCUUCUCUCCUCCUUGGAAACUUCUAGCUUCUAUAAAUGGCUGUCAGCUACUCCAACAGUCACCUACUGACCUUUCCUCCAGGAAACCUUCUCAACUAGGAUUGCUCCUGGGAACCGCAGAAGACAUAAAAUGAAAAGUUACUACACAAGGGAAACUUGGGAAGCUUUUGCAACUUUGGACAGCAUUUUGGAAUCACUCCUCUAAAGUAAUCCUCCAUGCUGCUGCUAAGUCUGACCAAAUCACUACUCCAGUUAAAAACUUCCAGUUACUCUUCAGGAGAAUGCCCAAGGUCAUGACCAUAACUACAAGAUGUAAUAGUUUGGAAAACCAGUUCCAAAUACUUACCCCCAUCUAUUCCUGCCUGUACCUUCAAACACACGUGCAUGCACUCUCACCCACAGACACACACAUGCAGGCACACAUACAUACACUCACACGUGCACGCGAGUAAACACAAAUAGGCAUUUCUCUCUGAGCAUCAGUCAUGGCAUUGCCAUCCUGCUUUUAAUCUGGGCCUUUAGUAUGUUUGUCUGUUUGUCAGAGAAGUGGUUCUGGUCCCUACAGAACCCUUAUUCCUUGGAUAAUACAUGUAACGUCAACACCAUCCUCUCUGUGUGCACAUACUCUUUGUAAUAUCAGCUGGCAGCUGACUUCCCAGAUUUCUCAUCAUGUGCACUUGGCUCUCACGGUCAGAUAAGUCAGUGGUUGAGUGGAUGAGCUGUUUGGGGUGCCACCCACCCAGAUGCAGACACUAUAAUGUUGAGACACAUCAAAUCAAAAUAAUAGCAGUCUAAGACCGGGAGGGAUUUAUCCUAGAGAUCCAAAUGCAGGAAAUGUAGCCACAUAAUCUGUACCAAUAAAUUAAAAGAGAAAAAGAUAUGAUCAUAUCAGACAAUGCUGAAAAGACAUUAGCAGCCAUUGCUAAUAAAAACCCCAGGCAAGGGAGCAAUAGGUAGAAACUAAUUACACGAUGUAAAACAUACAGAAACCAGAGACCAAAGUUACAAAACGCUAGAGCCGUUUGAAUUAAAAUUGGAAAUGGCAGGGAUAGUCAAUGCCAUUAUUACUUAGUAUUUCCUUAGAAGUUUUAACAAAUAUAAUAAGAACAAAAAAUGUAAUGAUAGACACAAAAAUUGGGAAAGAAGAUAUAAAAACUCUCUCAGCAAACAUGGCCAACAUUACUAGUGUUGGUCAAUACUUAGGUUGUCCUCACCUUUUCUUGGCCAUGCAGACUCCCUUUGCAGUUGGGCAGGAUGAUGUAACCAGUUCUAGCCAGUGGGCUGUGACUGGAAGUGACAUCCAGCACUUUUAAGAUGAGGCAUUUAUAUCCUCCUGCCCUCUCUUUCCCUGCCCUGCUGAACCUAGAAGCCUCCAGUUGUUUUGGGGGUAGGGAUGGGGGUGGGACUAGAAGAUCAAAACAGCCUAUGGUGCAAAUUCAAUACUCUAGAGCACAGCUGUCCUGGACCCACAGCAGUUUUUGCAUGAGUGAAAAAAUAAAAACUUAUGUUGUGACAAA